rnacentral:rRNA from 1 species
UAUGUGAUCGUCUCUCGCAUAUCAAUAAGCGGAGGAAAAGAAACUAACAAGGAUUCCCCUAGUAACGGCGAGUGAAGCGGGAAGAGCUCAAAUUUGAAAUCUUAAAGGGUUUCCCUUUACGAAUUGUAGUUUAAAGAAGUGUUUUCUGUUGAGGUUUUGGUAAAAGUUCUUUGGAAUAGGACAUCAUAGAGGGUGAGAAUCCCGUAUUUGACCUUUACUUUCAACUUUGUGAUACACUUUCAAAGAGUCGGAUUGUUUGGGAAUGCAGUCCAAAAUGGGUGGUAAAUUUCAUCUAAAGCUAAAUAUUGGCGAGAGACCGAUAGCGAACAAGUACCGUGAGGGAAAGAUGAAAAGAACUUUGAAAAGAGAGUUAAACAGUACGUGAAAUUGUCAAAAGGGAAGCGUUUGACACCAGUGUUGUUUUUCUGAAAAUCAAUUAAAGAACUGUUUAUGCUAAGUUGUUUAGACUUUAUCAGCUAACUGUUUAGUUUUGAGCUUUUCUUUAAUGCACUUUUCAGUUAACAAGUCAACAUCAAUUUCUUUUGCUGUAAAAAAGCUUGAGGAAGGUGGCUUGAGAUUCGUCUUAAGUGUUUAUAGCCUCUUGCCUAUGCAGUCGAAGAGAUUGAGGUCUGCAGCGUAGAUCCUUCGGGGCUAAAUGCAUUUGUGCUAAGUUAUAGCAUUUUAUAGACAACUUGUUGACUAUGAUUUGUCUUGUAGCUUACUCGCUUAUGUUAUUUUACCUACGCUUAGGAUGUUGACGAGACUGUCGAUCUC